UAUUGAGGAUCUACAUGUACCCGUGAACUAAACUGGACUACAGUUGUCGAUAAAUAUGUACGUAUACAAAUAUAUUUGCUUUAUUUACUUCCCCUUUCUUAUUUCGAUGAAUUUCAUAGCGCGCUUUUCGUAGAAUUAAGGAUUUACAUGUACUCGGGAACUGAAGUGGACUUAGUGCCGAUAAACAUACCUCACAGUAUGCCUACAACACAUAUAUGCCCGUAUGCCUCUUUCUUGGUGUUUCGAAAUUCACGUCGUCGGCUGCAGUAUCUGGGGAAAUGGGACGGGAACCAACAUCAUUGAAACAAAUAGAUAGCGGAUACUGAAAAGGAUCUGCACAAAUCAAAUCAAUGCAUUUGCAAAGAGGAAUACAUGGCGUACUGGUUAAUUAAAUCCAUACCGAAAGAAAGACAAUGCAGCAUCAUACCGGAAACGUCUAGAUUAUAUCUACACCAUAACGAAAACCAACGGUUUGUAAAGAGAAAUGAAAGAUCAAUAUAUAUAAAAUGAUCUUUCAUGUGCCGCAAAAGAAUUUAUAUCAACACCACGGCUCGUUACGAGAAACACAAAAGGAUCGUGAGAAUAAAGACAGCAAAGGGUUUAGCAUGAAUAAUUUUAAACAUGUGGUAUCAAAUAUAGAGGGAUACAUUUGCUUCCCUGCAUCGGAUUAUAAAACGGAUAUUUAGCCGAAGAGACCAACAAGGAAACGGUAGAUGCUUAGAUCGUUAAGAGGUGAAAUGUUAGAAAGCUGUUAAAGAAAGCUGAAAUAAAAACAUAAGAAGGCACAACAAAAAGUCACUGAACAGUAUUGUGUAAGGAAAGGCAGUGAAGCAUUACAAAAAUUGCUGCACGAAUUGAAAGAAAAUACUGUGAAUCCUUUUAUAAUAGAAGCAGACAGUAAUCUCUACUGCCUCGCGGCUGGCAAAGAAGUUUUAAAGAAGACCAAACAUUGAACAUCCCUGUGAAGUUCCAUCAGAAUUGGCCUGGUGGUUUGGGAGGAGAUGUUGUUUAAAGGAAAGUGUGGACGGAUGUUGAGCGAUCACAAUAGCUCACCCUCCGGUGAGCUAAAAAUGACGAAAUAUUAAAUAUGAAUGUAAUUUGUACGCAGUGAAAUUUAUUUGUGUCACUCUAGUCACCUUGCUUAGGACCUGGUCUAGACGUGGCAUCUUGGACGAUAAUGAUCAUGUCAUUCUACCUAUUCGUUGGAAUUCAUAAUAAGCGUCGGAAGGUCACAUGACCGCCCACUGCUAAUAACGAAAGCAUUGUUGCAUCAAUCUAAUUUUGGACAAGAAUUUGUGAUUUUUGAGGUAUUAAAGUAGCUCAGUAUUUGUUUCCUUAAAGUGUAAAAGGUUUGACUUGUCACUGGCGACCGGUCCAUUCCUACGAGGAGGCGGACGAGGAAGAAAGAAAUUUAGUAUAGUAUAAAAUUAUAAAAUUGUUGUUUUCUUCCAAGUAUUUAAACCUUAAACACUUUGUUUUAGGUUCUCUACCCUCUUUUAACGUACAAUGUAAGCAUUGAAAUGCAUAACAUGUAUACACUUUUUAAAAUUGAAUGUAUGAGUAAUGUUUCAGCUGAGCAACACAAUUGUGUAGGAAUCACCGACGAUGCAAAUAAUGUAAACAUUCCAUUGAGACUAAUUAAAUUGAUAAUACAUCACGUGCUCUAGUUAUAAUGAGAUAACGGUUUGCGUUUAUUAAUAAGAGGACUUUCUGGCCUUUGCGCAAAUGUUUUUAAUAAACAGUAUUUAAGUAUUUUGUGAGUUUUGGAGAUUAAUUAACAGAAAAAACCUAACAGAACACAAGUGUUUGAGAUGAAAUUUGACGACAUGAUUUCCCGUAUUCCACAAGAGAUAUAUACGGUCUGGAAAAACUAUGCUGCCAAACUUUAUUCGCCUGUACAACGCGGAACUUUUAAUCAGGAGCUUUUGCAAACCAUGAAUACAGAAGUUGAUAAUAUAGAAAAUAAGUUACUAUCACAUCAUGAUAAAUAAUCCAUUGAUCUUUUAUAAAAGAAGUAACUGAGCGGUGCCAUAUGACAUAAAUAAGUGUAAAGCAUGCGGAGCUGACAACGUAAUACUGAGAAAAUCUGAUGUACAAUGGUUCACUUCUCACUGAGUUGCCUUACAAAGCUCUUUCAAAACAUGGCUCGAAUUUCGCCUAUACCAGAUGAACUUUAAUGUGGAAUAGUUACAAUUUGAUUAAGGUUGAAGCAAAAAGAAAUCUGAUCCGAUCUUACGCAUCGUUAUAAAGAUAAAUUAUAUAACAAUUUUGUCCAGUUUCAUUAACAUGAUUGUGGAUUCGAGCUAUACUCGGGGCGUUGAAUUCUUUAUGUGACGAAGCCAUCUUGCUGGCUUACGGAAGGUCGGUGGUUCUAUCCGGGUGUCCGCUCGUGAUGAAAUAACGUACGGAGGGGCACCUGGGGUUUUCCUCCACCAUCAAAGCUGGAAAGUUGCCAUAUGACCUAUAAUCGUGUCGGUGCGAUGUUAUACCCAACAAAAAUGAGAAAGAUUAAACACUUUAGUAUUAGGUUUUGUUUUUUUAAAUUAAAAUAACAGUUUUUGUGCAUGGGUGACCUUGAAAGUUAACAGGAUUGUGUUACUAUUUAUGCAAAUACUUUAA
rnacentral:lncRNA from 1 species